UGAAACACAGGUUCUCUUACGAUCGUCGAAGUUAAGUAAUGUCGAGCCUGGUCAGUACUAAGAUGGAUGACCGCUUGGGAAUAC